rnacentral:rRNA from 1 species
CCCUAGGGGGGGGCUAAUACAUGACAAGUCGAACGCACUCUCGUUAGAUUGAAGAAGCUUGCUUCUGAUUGAUAACAUUUGAGUGAGUGGCGGACGGGUGAGUAACACGUGGGUAACCUGCCCUAAAGUGGGGGAUAACAUUUGGAAACAGAUGCUAAUACCGCAUAAAACCUAGCACCGCAUGGUGCAAGGUUGAAAGAUGGUUUCGGCUAUCACUUUAGGAUGGACCCGCGGUGCAUUAGUUAGUUGGUGAGGUAAAGGCUCACCAAGACCGUGAUGCAUAGCCGACCUGAGAGGGUAAUCGGCCACACUGGGACUGAGACACGGCCCAGACUCCUACGGGAGGCAGCAGUAGGGAAUCUUCCACAAUGGACGAAAGUCUGAUGGAGCAACGCCGCGUGAGUGAAGAAGGUUUUCGGAUCGUAAAACUCUGUUGUUGGAGAAGAACGUAUUUGAUAGUAACUGAUCAGGUAGUGACGGUAUCCAACCAGAAAGCCACGGCUAACUACGUGCCAGCAGCCGCGGUAAUACGUAGGUGGCAAGCGUUGUCCGGAUUUAUUGGGCGUAAAGCGAGCGCAGGCGGUUUCUUAAGUCUGAUGUGAAAGCCUUCGGCUCAACCGAAGAAGUGCAUCGGAAACUGGGAAACUUGAGUGCAGAAGAGGACAGUGGAACUCCAUGUGUAGCGGUGAAAUGCGUAGAUAUAUGGAAGAACACCAGUGGCGAAGGCGGCUGUCUGGUCUGUAACUGACGCUGAGGCUCGAAAGCAUGGGUAGCAAACAGGAUUAGAUACCCUGGUAGUCCAUGCCGUAAACGAUGAGUGCUAGGUGUUGGAGGGUUUCCGCUCUUCAGUGCCGCAGCUAACGCAUUAAGCACUCCGCCUGGGGAGUACGACCGCAAGGUUGAAACUCAAAGGAAUUGACGGGGGCCCGCACAAGCGGUGGAGCAUGUGGUUUAAUUCGAAGCAACGCGAAGAACCUUACCAGGUCUUGACAUCCUUUGACCACUCUAGAGAUAGAGCUUUCCCUUCGGGGACAAAGUGACAGGUGGUGCAUGGUUGUCGUCAGCUCGUGUCGUGAGAUGUUGGGUUAAGUCCCGCAACGAGCGCACCCUUAUUACUAGUUGCCAGCAUUUAGUUGGGCACUCUAAUGAGACUGCCGGUGACAACCGGAGGAAGGGGGGGACGA